rnacentral:tRNA from 1 species
CUGCUCGUGGAGCAAUGGUAGCGCGUCUGACUCCAGAUCAGAAGGUUGUGUGUUCGAAUCACGUCGGGCUCA